rnacentral:ncRNA from 2 species
AAUUGAGGUAGAGGUUGCGAUUUUUAUUACCCUUGUGGAGUGAAAGGACACAUUGAAACAAGCUUAGGAAAAAUCGCCGAAAUGCAUAACAGCCUUUCUGUUGUGUGUUGGGACGCAAGUGAAUAAUUUGCGGACUGUCUUAGUAGUGAUGCUAAGUUGUGCUAUGUUUUGU